rnacentral:tRNA from 2 species
GGCAACUUGGCGGAGUGGUUAACGCGAUUGACUCGAAUGUCCUAGCGUGCUAGGGAUAUCAAUUUCCUUCGGGAGCGCAUGUUCGAAUCAUGCAGUUGUCG